AUUUGGAAUGUGAAAAACAAUUUUUCAAAAACAGGCUCAAAAACACCAAUCCAAACGUAGUUAAUUUGCUCUUUUGUACGCUGGUUUUUGUGUCGCAUCCAGGGCCCUAUGUCUUGUUGCAUUUUCAUAAUGGCUGUUUACAUAGGGGACAUGGACUGGUGGGAUCCAUACUAUUGGGGAGGCAUCAAUUGGGUCGGUUGUUGACAUUGAGGCAGAAACCUAGUACUAGUAGUAGCCUAGUACUGUAUUUGGCUGGCGUCCUGGCAAUACCCCCUACCUAGAGUAUCCAAACAAUGUCCAAAAUGAAAGUGAUUUCUACUCGGAAUAUAUUGGAAAUUAGUUAAAUUUUUAGAUUUAAAUCUUAACAACAACAUAUAAUCUACAAGUUGUCGUGCCAUGUUAUUUGAUUUGUGAUUUGAUUUUUUAGUUUGAUAGGACUUUAGCUUGUAAUUUGACUUUUAGUCUAACAGGUUUUUAUUUUUUGUAGGGCAACUUUUGUAUAAACUUUCAUCAAUGUUAAUGAUACAGAAGCUACCACCUCCCAGUUUGAGAAUUACAGUUGGCUAAGGUUGAGGAAACUUCAUCAGUCAGACCUUGAAUACUAUUAGCAUAAAGAUUUGUAGCAGUAGCAUUGGAUGAUUCUAUAUUUGUAGCCUAUGACCGCUUCAAAUGCAUGUGGAAGAUGACUGUCAAGAACAGAAUAUUAGCUUUUGUUUUGAACCAACGUUGUUCAGUUACCGGAAAGACCUAAAAGUACAAAGAAAAAAUGCACCCAUGGUAGAAGCUCAGUUAAUCAGGUCGGUGACCGAAUUAUAUGCAUGAAAUCUUUUUGUUUCCUCUCUUCUCUUAUUAACCAUAGUAUUUAUUGAUUCCAAGACUCUGCUAAAGUUUAAAUCUUCUAGGGGCGGUGGGGGUUAAAAAAAUAUGCAUCUUUCAAGCGCAAUGGUUUUCAGCUUUACCGUUUGACAUUUCAAUGUGCAACUUGAUUGGUACUAGAACAUCAAUCUUCCUGGCUACACUCCUAUUUUAUUUUUAUUUUCUGCAAAUAUGACAUUGGAUUCUUUUUUUUUUUUUUUUUUUUUUAAACCUGGCAUGGGAUUCUUUUAAAGCCUGCUAGGGACUGUUAUUAGGAGUUCCGUAAGAUAACUAUUACUACUUCUGGUUAUUAAUAUCCUCUUUUGUCUAAAAAGUGAAGUAUGAUACUCUAUCAAAUCUAUAGUAAUUAAUAGAACAUUUGAACUGAAUUAAAUUAUCUUAGUCUGAUAUUAAGUGCUCGAGAGCAAUCACCUUUUUCUCCCUCUCUCUAUCUUAUUUUUUUUAAUUAUUUUUCACCAAGAUGAGUUUUGACUAAAAGUGUCACUCUUUCCCGAGCAUUUUGAUGUACCGAAACUACAUUCUUCUAUGUAGGAUUACACACAAUUGAAUGCUACAAAUGGAUAAAAAAGAUGAUCGUAAUCUCGAUAAUGACUCUCUUUAUCCUGCUCUUUCAUUAUUUUUGUUCUUUUGAACCUAAAUUAAAAUCCUAAUCUUUGCUUGCCCCAAUUCAAUGAACCAACUGAAGAUAAUAUCUAUUCUCCCGAGUCUUGAUUUUCACAUUAUUGCUGCAAAUCCAACAUUUCCAUUAAUUUUACGUUGUACGAAAGAUGUUUUUGUAAGGUAUGAUGGCUGCCGAUAUAAAAGAUGUUAGCAUCAAAGGCCCACCGAUUGGUUCUGGGACAAAAAAGUAGUUGAUCAUCAAGAUAAUUUCGAAAGGGAUUCCAAAGACGAAGCACAGAAGCCUAAUGGCAAGAAGAGUGGAGCAUGUAACACUUUCCCGCACGUUUCUGCGGGAAGACCAUUCUACUGUUACCAGUGGGCCAUAGUUACGGUCAUUGUUGGACUUUAAGAUUCGGCUAUUGUUGGGUUGUCCAAGCCCAACGAAACAUUGCAUCUAGAACGGCUCAAAAUCAACCCUUAAUACAUAUGCGACGAAGCCCGUGUUUUGGAAAUUUCUGAUGGUCCAUUAGACCCAAUAAGGCAAUAACCACAUAUUAUUCGCAAACAAUGAGAAAUUGUGUACUCAACGUCACUUUUCUUAUAUUAAGAAUAUACCAUGUGAUGUAUGUGAUA